rnacentral:rRNA from 1 species
UACAGAGGUCUCAAGCGUUGUUCGGUUUCAUUGGGCGUAAAGGGUGCGUAGGCGGCGCGGUAAGUCGGGUGUGAAAUCUCGGAGCUUAACUCCGAAACUGCAUUCGAUACUGCCGUGCUUGAGGACUGGAGAGGAGACUGGAAUUUACGGUGUAGCGGUGAAAUGCGUAGAUAUCGGGAGGAACACCAGUGGCGAAGGCGGCUACCUGGCCCACUCUUGACGCUGAGGCGCGAAAGCUAGGGGAGCAAACGGG